rnacentral:misc_RNA from 1 species
GUGAAUCAUCAAAUUUUUGAACGCAAAUUGCACUCUCCUCGGAGAGUAUGCCUGUUUGAGGGUCAGCCUAUAAAAAUCGACAUCGUUGCUGUUUCGCGGUGGCGUUCGUCGGAAAUUGGGUCAUCUUAAAUCCUUUUGAUUUAAGCGACUUAAAUUUUCUUUUUGUUUCAUGAACGGUUCUUAGAACUAUUUCUUUACAAGGUUAAGGUAAUGAAUUUUACUAGAACUGA